rnacentral:rRNA from 1 species
CCUACGGGUGACAGCAGUGAGGAAUAUUGGUCAAUGGGCUUACGCCUGAACCAGCCAAGUCGCGUGAGGGAAGACUGCCCUAUGGGUUGUAAACCUCUUUUGUCAGGGAGCAAUUGGCGCUACGUGUAGCGUUAUCGAGAGUACCUGAAGAAAAAGCAUCGGCUAACUCCGUGCCAGCAGCCGCGGUAAUACGGAGGAUGCGAGCGUUAUCCGGAUUUAUUGGGUUUAAAGGGUGCGUAGGCGGAAUGCCAAGUCAGCGGUAAAAUCGCGGGGCUCAACCUCGCUCCGCCGUUGAAACUGGCGGUCUUGAGUGGGCGAGAAGUAUGCGGAAUGCGUGGUGUAGCGGGGAAAUGCAUAGAUAUCACGCAGAACUCCGAUUGCGAAGGCAGCAUACCGGCGCCCAACUGACGCUGAAGCACGAAAGCGUGGGUAUCGAACAGGAUUAGAUACCCUGGUAGUC